GCAGGGUAGCGUGAGCGGAGACAAGUGUCAGGGGCGAUUUGUGAGAGAAAGAUAGCAGCAAGAGUGAAAGAUUUUCCAAAGGUACCACUCUUGUCCUAAAUCACUUUGCCACCUUCCUUGUCAUGAUCUGGGGGAAUGGCUGGAAAAUUCCAUGAGGCUUCUGAGUUUCCUUGGUCUCCACCCCUGGAUGGAGCCAUCAUCUCUCCUGUAGUCCCGCACACCUGGAGCUGGUCCUCAGGUUGAGGAUUUAAGCUCCACACAGACUCUCCUUCACCGCCACUUCGUCAACUACCUCAAUUCACCUGGACCUUCCAUGCCAGUUUCCUUCAGCUCCAGUUCUUCUUGGAAAACCUCUCCAUUCCGGAACGUUCUCUGAACUUCACAUGCCUGCCCUCCAGCCAUCUCUCACCAUCUCAAAUGCAGUGGAACUCAGGUCAGCCUUUACCAUUACUCACCUGGAUUCUCGCCGCCUUUUCCUUAAAGCCAAACUCCACCCUGGCUACAAACGUGCCCGCUUUGCUUCAGUUGAUCCUGUAAAUUCCCAGUUUCCCCUUAUUGACCCACGGCCACACUACUACGCCACCCACG